UUGAAGAAGGACCUGUCAUAGUGUU
rnacentral:sRNA from 1 species